rnacentral:ncRNA from 2 species
CACAAUUAGUCGGGGUGCUGCGCAAGCGGCUGAGAAAACACCCGUGAACCUGACACAGGUAAUACUGGCGUAGGAAACUAAUCAAAACAACUG